ACGCUGGCGGCAUGCUUUACACAUGCAAGUCGGACGGCAGCACAGAGAAGCUUGCUUCUUGGGUGGCGAGUGGCGAACGGGUGAGUAAUAUAUCGGAACGUACCGAGUAAUGGGGGAUAACUAAUCGAAAGAUUAGCUAAUACCGCAUAUUCUCUGAGGAGGAAAGCAGGGGACCUUCGGGCCUUGCGUUAUUCGAGCGGCCGAUAUCUGAUUAGCUAGUUGGUGGGGUAAAGGCCUACCAAGGCGACGAUCAGUAGCGGGUCUGAGAGGAUGAUCCGCCACACUGGGACUGAGACACGGCCCAGACUCCUACGGGAGGCAGCAGUGGGGAAUUUUGGACAAUGGGCGCAAGCCUGAUCCAGCCAUGCCGCGUGUCUGAAGAAGGCCUUCGGGUUGUAAAGGACUUUUGUCAGGGAAGAAAAGGCUGUCGCUAAUACCGACAGUUGAUGACGGUACCUGAAGAAUAAGCACCGGCUAACUACGUGCCAGCAGCCGCGGUAAUACGUAGGGUGCGAGCGUUAAUCGGAAUUACUGGGCGUAAAGCGAGCGCAGACGGUUACUUAAGCAGGAUGUGAAAUCCCGGGCUCAACCUGGGAACUGCGUUCUGAACUGGGUGACUAGAGUGUGUCAGAGGGAGGUAGAAUUCCACGUGUAGCAGUGAAAUGCGUAGAGAUGUGGAGGAAUACCGAUGGCGAAGGCAGCCUCCUGGGAUAACACUGACGUUCAUGCUCGAAAGCGUGGGUAGCAAACAGGAUUAGAUACCCUGGUAGUCCACGCCCUAAACGAUGUCAAUUAGCUGUUGGGCAACUUGAUUGCUUAGUAGCGUAGCUAACGCGUGAAAUUGACCGCCUGGGGAGUACGGUCGCAAGAUUAAAACUCAAAGGAAUUGACGGGGACCCGCACAAGCGGU
rnacentral:rRNA from 1 species